rnacentral:misc_RNA from 1 species
GAUGAAGAACGUAGCGAAAUGCGAUAAGUAGUGUGAAUUGCAGAAUUCAGUGAAUCAUCGAAUCUUUGAACGCACAUUGCGCCCUUUGGUAUUCCUUAGGGCAUGCCUGUUCGAGCGUCAUUUAAACCUUCAAGCUAAGCUUGGUGUUGGGUGACUGUCCGCUUCACUGCGGACUCGCCUCAAAAUUAUUGGCGGCCGGUACAUUGGCUUCGAGCGCAGCAGAAACGCGAACUCGGGCCCGUCGUAUUGGCUCCCAGAAGCUAUCUUCACAAUUUUGACCUCAGAUCAGGUAGGGAUACCCGCUGAACUUAAGCAUAUCAAUAAGCGGAGGA